rnacentral:rRNA from 1 species
GACGGGGGGGGCAAGUGUUCUUCGGAAUGACUGGGCGUAAAGGGCACGUAGGCGGUGAAUCGGGUUGAAAGUGAAGGUCGCCAAAAAGUGGCGGAAUGCUCUCGAAACCAAUUCACUAGAGUGAGACAGAGGAGAGUGGAAUUUCGUGUGUAGGGGUGAAAUCCGUAGAUAUCCGGAGGAACACCAGUGGCGAAGGCGACUUUCUGGCCUGUUCUUGACGCUGAGGCGCGAAAGCUAGGGGAGCAAACGGG